rnacentral:rRNA from 1 species
GACGAACGCUGGCGGCGUGCUUAACACAUGCAAGUCGAACGAUGAACCCGGAGCUUGCUCCGGUGGAUUAGUGGCGAACGGGUGAGUAACACGUGAGUAACCUGCCCUUGACUCUGGGAUAACUGCGGGAAACUGUAGCUAAUACCGGAUACGACCCUCGGCGGCAUCGCCAGGGGGUGGAAAGAAUUUCGGUCAAGGAUGGACUCGCGGCCUAUCAGCUAGUUGGUGGGGUGAUGGCCUACCAAGGCGACGACGGGUAGCCGGCCUGAGAGGGUGACCGGCCACACUGGGACUGAGAUACGGCCCAGACUCCUACGGGAGGCAGCAGUGGGGAAUAUUGCACAAUGGGCGCAAGCCUGAUGCAGCGACGCCGCGUGAGGGAUGACGGCCUUCGGGUUGUAAACCUCUUUCAGCACCGACGAAGCGCAAGUGACGGUAGGUGCAGAAGAAGGACCGGCCAACUACGUGCCAGCCGCCGCAGUAA